GCAGACGGGUGAGUAACGCGUGGGAAUCUACCUAGUUCUGCGGAACAACAGUUGGAAACGACUGCUAAUACCGCAUACGCCCUACGGGGGAAAGAUUUAUCGGAAUUAGAUGAGCCCGCGUAAGAUUAGCUAGUUGGUGGGGUAAUGGCCUACCAAGGCGACGAUCUUUAGCUGGUCUGAGAGGAUGAUCAGCCACACUGGGACUGAGACACGGCCCAGACUCCUACGGGAGGCAGCAGUGGGGAAUAUUGGACAAUGGGCGCAAGCCUGAUCCAGCCAUGCCGCGUGAGUGAUGAAGGCCUUAGGGUUGUAAAGCUCUUUCAGUAGGGAAGAUAAUGACGGUACCUACAGAAGAAGCCCCGGCUAACUUCGUGCCAGCAGCCGCGGUAAUACGAAGGGGGCUAGCGUUGUUCGGAUUUACUGGGCGUAAAGCGCACGUAGGCGGAUUGGUCAGUUAGAGGUGAAAUCCUGGAGCUCAACUCCAGAACUGCCUUUAAUACUGCCAGUCUAGAGUCCGGAAGAGGUAAGUGGAACUCCUAGUGUAGAGGUGGAAUUCGUAGAUAUUAGGAAGAACACCAGUGGCGAAGGCGGCUUACUGGUCCGGUACUGACGCUGAGGUGCGAAAGCGUGGGGAGCAAAC
rnacentral:rRNA from 1 species